CACUGUUACCGUCACCUAUCAUCUUUAUCUCUCCUCCUUCUUCUUCUUCCUCAUUCUUUCUUUUCCAUUUUUCUCUUCCUCUUUUUCCCUCACAUCUUCUUCUCCCUCGUCCGCUACCCCCUUCCUUCCCUUCCUUUGUCCCCAUUGAACCCCUUUACCCUUCUUUUCCAGUUUCUAGCCACGAUCAGAAGCCAGAAAAGGAGGGAUGGGAUGGGAAGGGAAGGGUGGUGUGAAGGAUAGGGAAGAAAGGAACAGAAAAAGGAAGAAGGAGAAAUGAGAGAGAGAAAGGGGAUAGGAAUGAGAGAGGAUGGGGGAUGGCGGCGGCGGCGGCGGGCAAUAGUGGUACAAGUAGCGGAAGCAGAGAAAGAAGAAAGGAAGGGGUGCUGGGUGGCGGUGUAUCAUGGGUAGUGAUGGUGUAUAUAUUUUUUUUGUAUAUUAUAUUUGAAAUUAUGUGUACUAAUGCUUAUUCCAAAAUAUAUGAUUAAAUAUUUUUUUUUAUAAUCAAC
rnacentral:lncRNA from 1 species